GACAGCAUCAAGAGCAGCAUCACCAACAGCAUCAGCAGCAACAGCAGCAUCAGCAGCAGGUGGAGAAGCAGCAGCAGCUGGGACAGGCACCCCAGGAGCACAAAGGGCAGCCCCUGGAGGCUCACAAGGACCCCAGCCUUCCCAUUCAACACAACCCAUUGGCCGGACAUGAGAUGCACUUGGAGGGAAGAAUUGAAAAACCGGACAAUCACUAGUGACCCACACCAUUCCUCACUAACAACCCACUCAUCAACGAGCACUCACUCGCCACCCACACCAUUACUCACUCGCGACCCACUCACUCACUAGCGACCGUCUCCACUUAUUAAGUUUCACUUUUAGAUAGAAUCAACAUCUCAAAACAUUCACACCGCUACUAAUUCCUCAGCCGCGGUGUUCACACAAAAUGAACACAUUCAUAUUGGUGUUACAUUUUAAACCACAGUGAACAUUUUGUGAGUUUAUACAAGCAGAUGGCACGUUUAAAUCGAUACAGUAAAUAUGCAGUAAGCUUAUGCAGAAAAUAUUUUCCUUAUCAUAGUUUCCGUAUUAAAUUAAACUACUGACGCCUGUCCUGAGCCCCCCAAACCUCGUGGCUCUCCACAAAA